AAUGAACGCUGGCGGCGUGCUUAACACAUGCAAGUCGAGCGAGGCCUGGGGGGCAACUCCCAGAGUCGAGCGGCGGACGGGUGAGUAACACGUGGGUAACCUGCCCGGAAGUGGGGAAUACCUCGGGGAAACUCGAGCUAAUACCGCAUGACGUCUUUGGGACGAAAGUCCUGACGAUCAAAGCGGGGUCGCAAGAUCUCGCGCUACCGGAUGGGCCCGCGCCCGAUUAGCUAGUUGGUGAGGUAACGGCUCACCAAGGCUUCGAUCGGUAACCGGCCUGAGAGGGCGAUC
rnacentral:rRNA from 1 species